GGGGGCGUAGUUCAGCUGGUUAGAAUGCUUGCCUGUCACGCAGGAGGUCGAGGGUUCGAGUCCCUUCGUCCCCGCCA
rnacentral:tRNA from 1 species